rnacentral:rRNA from 1 species
UGACUGCGUACCUUUUGUAUAAUGGGUCAGCGACUUAUUGUCUGUAGCAAGCUUAACCGUUUAGGGGAGGCGUAGGGAAACCGAGUCUUAAUAGGGCGCAUAGUUGCAGGCAAUAGACCCGAAACCGGGCGAUCUAUCCAUGGCCAGGUUGAAGGUGCCGUAACAGGCACUGGAGGACCGAACCCACUAACGUUGAAAAGUUAGGGGAUGAGCUGUGGAUCGGAGUGAAAGGCUAAUCAAGCUCGGAGAUAGCUGGUUCUCCUCGAAAGCUAUUUAGGUAGCGCCUCUCGUAUCACCAUUGGGGGUAGAGCACUGUUUGGGCUAGGGGGUCAUCC